AGUGAACGCUGGCGGUAGGCCUAACACAUGCAAGUCGAACGGCAGCACAGUAAGAGCUUGCUCUUACGGGUGGCGAGUGGCGGACGGGUGAGGAAUACAUCGGAAUCUACUUUUUCGUGGGGGAUAACGUAGGGAAACUUACGCUAAUACCGCAUACGACCUACGGGUGAAAGCAGGGGAUCUUCGGACCUUGCGCGAUUGAAUGAGCCGAUGUCGGAUUAGCUAGUUGGCGGGGUAAAGGCCCACCAAGGCGACGAUCCGUAGCUGGUCUGAGAGGAUGAUCAGGCACACUGGAACUGAGACACGGUCCAGACUCCUACGGGAGGCAGCAGUGGGGAAUAUUGGACAAUGGGCGCAAGCCUGAUCCAGCCAUACCGCGUGAGUGAAGAAGGCCUUCGGGUUGUAAAGCCCUUUUGUUGGGAAAGAAAAGCAGCAGGUUAAUCCCCCGCUGUUCUGACGGUACCCAAAGAAUAAGCACCGGCUAACUUCGUG
rnacentral:rRNA from 1 species